UGGAGGCUUUAGUUUGCACGCGUGAUUGGUUAUAUGGUAUCAAAGAUGACAUGCAACCAAAAUUAGAUGAGCUUUCCGAGGAUAUCAUGCAAUUAGAUAUUGGAGAAUGUAUGCCAACACAAGUAUGAAUCUCUCAUACUGUGAUGCGGUAGCUGAAGGUCCUCGCUAUUUCAUUGAGGUAUUAUUCUGGUCAUUCAUCUCUAAUUUGAGUUCUUAUUCAUGAAGUAUCUCGGCUAUGAAAAGUCACAG